rnacentral:rRNA from 1 species
UACGUAGGGCGCAAGCGUUGUCCGGAAUUAUUGGGCGUAAAGAGCUCGUAGGCGGUUUGUCGCGUCUGCUGUGAAAACCUAAGGCUCAACCUUGGGCUUGCAGUGGGUACGGGCAGACUAGAGUGCGGUAGGGGUGACUGGAAUUCCUGGUGUAGCGGUGGAAUGCGCAGAUAUCAGGAGGAACACCGAUGGCGAAGGCAGGUCACUGGGCCGCAACUGACGCUGAGGCACGAAGGCCAGGGGAGCAAACGGG